UUUUUUUUUUUUUUUUUUUGUUUUUUAAUCUUUCAUUGAAAAACAACUAACUUGUUCAUUGGUAUUUAUCAAGUUUUUAUUCUUGAUAGUAUCUUGUACUAAAUAAUAUUUCUUUAAUACAAAAUAAGGUUACUUGUUAAAAGAUAUUAAUAAAUAGCUAAUAAUGAUCUUAAUGAGAUAUCUCUAUACAAUACUAAAUCUACUACUUUAAAAACCAAUGUAACAAUAAAGAUAGAAAUUAAUUUAAAAAUUUAUCAAAUAGAUUUAAAAUUAAUAUUUUUUAAUAAAAAGUUCAAAAUAAAAAUUUAAGUAGAUUAAAAAAAUUAUAUUUAUACAAAAAUAAAAUAAAUUUUUUUGUAUGAAAAUUAUAAUUUUUUAAAAAAAAAUUAAAUUUUAAAUGUAUAACUUUAAUAGAAAAAAAUUAAUUUAAACCUUAAUAAUAAAAAUUUAGAUUUAAAACAUAAUAUCAUACAAACUAGUGAAGUCAUAAAACUUAUCAUUAAUCUAUUAUGUUGUAGUAUUAUUUGUUAGAAUAGAAUUUUUUUAUAAAUUUGUAAGAACAAACCAACAAUUUUAUAUCAAAUGAUAUUUCAUAAUAAAGAAAUUAUGAUUAAAAAAUAUUUUUAAAAUAUUAGACUUGUACAAUAAGCUUUUAGACUAAUAGAAUAAAAUAAUCUAUGAUUUUUUAUAUUUUUAGGUAAUCCAGAGUAAUUUUUAUUAGUCAAAUAUACUAUAGCUUGAUAUACUUUGUUAGUAAGAAAUUUAAAAAUAAAUUGAUUAAUAUAAUAUAUUUUAUAAUAAAAUAUAUAUUUUUUUGCUUUGAUAUAAAGGUACUUAUAAGAGAUAUAUAUAAAAAUUUGAUAAAAAAAUAGACUUGAAAGCUUUUGAGAACUUACAAAAAAUAAGGAAUAUAAAUGAUAUUAUAAAAAUAAAAUUAUAUAGAUUCUAGUUUUUUUUUUUUAAAAAAAAUCCAAAGUCUUUUAUAGAUAGACUUAUUUAAUAAUUGAAAGACAAAAUGAUAGUAAAGCAUUAAAUAAUGGCAAUAGUAAGUAAAAUCUAAAGAUUUAGAAGAAUAUUCUUUAAAUUAUCUUAUUUAAAUAGAAUAUUUUGGUGAUUUUGAAAAAUAAGCAGCCUAAUUUUUAUGGAUUAUUAUCUCAAUGAAAUAACAUUAUCAAUAAAGUAAUUUAGGCACUAAUCAAAAAGAAACCUAAUAUUUAUUUAUUACAUAUAAUUAAUGAGACAUAAUUUUAUUGUUAUCUAUUGUAAUUAUUUUUAAAUAAUUUUAUUUUAGAAUUCAUUACUAUAUAAGAUCCACUAAAUUAUACCAAAGUUAAAUGGUUACUUAAUCUUAGUGAUACUUUCUACCUUUCUAAAAUAGAACUCUUACAAAUUGGCUAUAAUAGUUUGUAAUUAUAAUGCUUCUAAGAAAUAGCCUAAUUACAUACUAAAAAAUAAAUUUUUUGAAAUUAAAUUAUUUAUAUUAUUCAUAAUCACUAUCUUUAUCUAUUAUCAAUUUAUAUUUAUUAUUAAUAAGUUAAUUCUUCAUUAAUAUUCUUAGUAAUAUUCUACUAAUAUUUUUAUUAAUUAUAUCUAUUAAUUUUGAAAAUAAUCAUUUAAAAAUUGAAUUUCUAUUUUUUAUUUUUUAUUUUUUAUUUACAUAAACUAGUCAUUAAUUAACUUUAAAAUAUGACUAUAACUAUAAAUAUAACUACAAGUAUAACUAUUAGAUAUUUUUGUGAUUUUCUACAAUACACUUGAACUUUAACGUUCUACAAACAAAUUGUUACUAAGUAAUUUUAAAAAUGAUAUAUAGAAUUGAAAAGAUAGUAAUUGUGAUUAUUAGAAAAAAAUUAAUCUUUGCUUGGGAUUUAACAGAAUUAAAAUUUUAAAUUUCAGAAGAGCACUUUAAAUUUAAAUAUUUAUAAAUAACUUAUAAGAUAUUACACUAAAGUGCUCCAAGGAAGUAAAAUAUUUUAAUAAGGAUAUUUUUCAAAAAGCUUAUUACCUCUAGGUUUUAAUAUUAAUCUAUUCUACAAAGAAGCUUAUGUAAUUGUUACAACCCAAAGAUCUACAUAUCUAUGCCACUUCUAAAAGUACAUAAUUUUUUUUUAAAGAUUUAAAUUAUAUAUAUAUAUAUAUAUAUAUAUAUAGAUAAUCCUUAAAAUAAAAGUCAAGAAUUAUAACUUGGUUUUUGUACUAUGCAACACUUAUAAUAAUAUUCAAUUAAUGCCUAGAAGUUACGAACCUUAUCAAAAUUCUAUUAUAAAAAAUAUUACCCAAAAGAUGAGUGGAGACAUAGAAAAUUUAAGAAAGAAUAAAAGAUAUGUGUUCUUUAUAAACCUUUGCAUUUAACCACAACCUUGUGCUACUAGCUUAUUUUUAAUCUAGUUUAUUUCAUUUUUUUAUAUUUCUUGUUCUAACUUGCUUCUACUUAAUAUUUGUCUUGAUCUUCUAAUUUCUGCUAUUUAGGUUUUUUUAUCUUUAUAUAUUUUUUAAAUUUUUACUUAAAACAAGAAGUAAUUUUGGCAAUUGAAGACCAUAUUUACAAACUUUACAAUAUAUAGGUUUGUAGGUUGUAUGUUCAGAUAUAAAGGAUAAAAAAUAAGUUCAUAACUUUCAUUCUGAAAUUUUAAUUGUGUGCAAAUAAAAAUAAGCAUAAAAAUAGAAGUUAUUACUAAGAUAUGAAAAAACUUGUAAGCUAAUUAAAAAUUUAGACUCUAGACAUAUUAUAUAAAUAAAAAAUUCAUUGAAAAAAUUAAAAAGAUUCUUAGAUACGGAUUACAUUUAUAGACUCUUCUAAACUUGCUAUAAAGAUAUUUAAAAAAAAAUAGAGGUUUUGUAUGUUUUAGAAGUUAUUAAAAAUUAAUCUACAACCUAGAUUCUUAGUCUAUAAUACAUUAGAAAACAAACCAUCAAACUCAAGUUGUACAUAAAAAUUGCUCUAACAAAAUUUUAUUGAUAAGUUAAAAUUUAAAGACAAGAUUUUGUCUAUGUCCAUUGUAUACAUAGUGCAUAGGUAGGUGAUUAAGUGCAUAACUAUUUUUCUAAUAACUUAUAACUUUCUCCAUAUUAUCAAUAAGUUCCUAUUUAUUUAUAGUAAUAAUAUACUAUUGGACUUGUAAGGUUGUAAGAUUAGUAAAUAUUUCUCUCUUGUUUUAAUAUUAGAAAAAAAUAAUCAAAUAUAGAUAUUUAAUUUUAGAAAAAAGUCUAUCAAAUAUAUACAUUCUAUUAAAAAUAAGAAAAAAUAAAUUUGUAAAAAUUAACUAUUCUUUCAAAUAUGUAUAUGUAUGUAUAUAUGUAUAUAUAUAUAUAUAUAUAUAUAUAUAUACAUAUAUAUAUAUAUAUAUACAUAUACAUAUACAUAUUCUUUUAAAUAUUAUUUUAGUCUUUUCAGUCAAUAAUAAUAUAAAAAAAUUAAUACCUCAUAAAAAAUAUAUUUUUUUUAUAAAUUUCAAUGUCAAUACUUUAUAUUAUCAAGUUCAAUUACAAAUAUGAAUAAACUCUCUAAAACAUUAUUACUUUGAUUAGUCUUUGUAAAUUCUAGAUGUUCUAACAAUUUAAAAGAUCAAUCAAGAUUUUAAGAAUUUAAUUAAUUUUAGGAAGAAUCUUUCAAUUAUUUAUAUUUUAUUUGAAUAAAUAAAUUCUAUCAUUGUAAAAUCAAGUCUUAAAAAUAACUUAUAAGAAAUUUUAAAAUAAAGACUACAUUAAUUAUUAUAAAAAAAUUUAAUAUAUAGAAAAUAAAAGAUGUUAAAUUUGAAAGAAUGUUUUCAAUUAAACUCUUGUAUCUGUAUUCAAUUAUUUUGCACUAUACUAUUAAAAGUUAAAAGUUUUUUCUAAUGAAUAUUAAUUGAUGGUAUAUUUUUACCAAUAUAAAACAUAUUAUUUUUUUUAUUCUAUCCUUGAAUUAGAUAUUUUCUCCAUCUCAAGUUCUAAGAAAUUAUUAGUUUUUACAAAUAUUAGUAGUAAUUUUUAUUUUUAUUUUUAUUGUUUUUUAAUUUUUUUAUUUUUUUCUAUACUCAAUUUUUUACAAGACUUUAAAAGAAUUAUGCAAAUUGUAGAGAGUACCUUCACAAAAUGGUAAUUCUAAAUCAUAUUAAAUAUGAUCAAUUUUUUUUAAGAUAGUGGAGUUGUCUAAAUUUUUAAUAAUACAAUUUUUAAGAAGUCAAAAUAUUUUUAUGCUACAAAAAAUAAUCCAUGUUAUAACUUCAAGAAUUUUUAUUAAUGGUAUUCUUAUUGAUGAAUCUAAAUGCAUUAUAUGGGAUUUCUUAUAGAAAGUUGUUAAUAACCAAAUUUCAUUAAAAUAAAAAAUUAACUGCAAUAUUAUACAUUAAAAUAAAAUCAGUGAUAAAUUAGCUAUGGAAUUAAUAUUUCAAUAGGAACAAUAGAAUUUUUUUAAUUUUAAUUUUAAAGUUUAUCAAGAUAAGUAUAAUGAGAGUUAGAGUAAAAUAUACAAAACACAUACAUGUAUAUAUUAAAAAUUAUGUUAUCAAUACUCUUGGCUUACAAAUAAAUUGGAUUUAACAGCAAAUAAAUCCUUUAAAUAGAGAUUUAUAUAAAAAUACAUAAUAUUAUAGAUUUAUAAUUAGAAAUUUUAUUUUACAAAAAUAUAUAGAAAACAUAUAUAUAUAUAUAUAUUUCACUUGAUAUUAAUAUUGAUGUUAAUAAAUAAAAACUUGGAUUCUUGAUUUUUAAAUUUUGCUAUUUUUAUUUGAAAUAACCAAGUUGUUUUGAUAAUAUAGGAUCAUUUAAUAAGUACUUCUACUUAGAAUAUAUUAUUAAUUAUUAAUUUUAAAACUAAAGAAAUUAGAAAAUUAGAACUUAACAAACAAGCUUUAAAAUUCUAAAAAAAAAUUAAAAAAAAUUCUUAAGAGAUUUUUAAAAAUUAUAUGAGAUGAAAUUUAUGUUCUUUAAGAAAACAUUGAAUUCAGUUUUAAUUUAUGGUUUACUUUAAAAUUUGUGACAAAAACUAGUCAAACUUGUAUUAGGUUAAAAUUAAAAAAUCCUAAUUUUUAACUAUUAAUAUAUCAAUAAAAGUUUAUCAUGCAUAAUUUAAUUAAAUUUUUAAAAAUAUAAAAUGAAUAUUAGUUAUAAUCAACUCGUUUUUUGUUAUAUAUAUAUAUAUAUAUAUAUGUGUUUUUUUAAAUGAUCUAAAUAUUUAAUUUUAUUUUGUAUUAUUAAAUAAAUAAAUAAAAUCUAAAAGAUAUCAAUAGUUACAACCAAGAUAUCAAUAACUACAUAUAAAUAAUCUUAUCAAUUCUAAUGAGUAUUUUAUAAGAAACAUAAAAAUUCUUCUUUAUAAUUAUAUAUAUAUUUACUAGUUAAAUUUUAAAGUAGGAAAUAAAAGAAUUCAGCUUUUGAUGGAAGCAUGAUUUUAGAAGAGGGAUAAAGAACAGUGUUUUUAGAUUCUAAAGCUACUCUUAAAUUGUUGUAUUAGAGCAGUUGUAGAGUUUUUUUAGAGUUGCUUUAGAAUCAAGGAAGACAUGAUAUUGCUUAUAAUUAUCUCAUAAAAAUAUUUUUUUGUAGAAGAGAUGUCCACUCAAAACAUAUAUUUAGAAAUUUGUGUGGAUAAUGGCCCUAGUUCCUACUUCUUAUCCAUAUGUAGUCUAAUUAUUAUGUCAAUACUAUAAAUUACAACUUGGUUUUGUUUACAAAUUAUUUUAUUAAAACUAAUAAUAAAAUAGUAGUUAUUAAUAAUUUAUACAUAUAUGUAUAUAAUAAAUUAAAUAAAACAUAAUUUUAUGAUAUUAUUUUAUUAAAUUUGUACACAUUUAAAUACAUAUAUAUAUAUAUAUAUAUAUAUAUAUAUAUAUUAGUGUAUAUUAAAUAGAUUUUAUGGAUUUAAAAAUAGUAUAAUAUAUCUAAAAGUUUAUUUAAGAUAUCAAGUAUGAUUAUCAACAUUAGAAUGUUUUGAUAAUUAUUUAUAAUGAAAUAUAAAAACAUUAACGAAUUGCAUGUAAUGUAAUAAAAUAUCAAUUAUGUAAGUUUAGGUUUGAUCGUACUUUUAUUAGAAUAAAUUCUAGUAUAUAAUUUAAACAAAUAUUGAAACUCAGAUUUUUCAUGAUAUAAUUUUGAAAUGUUAUUGGAAAUAAAUGCUAAAAAAAACUUAAAUUCAAGUAAAAGUAAUAGAUUUUAAAAACAUAUAAUUUAAAUGUGUAUUAUAAAAUAUACAAUGACACAGGAUGGUGUCUGCAUUGCAAUCAACCACUUUGAACCCAAACUUGUAUAACACAAUAUAAAGGCCACCUUCUCCAAGACAUCUAGCUAUAACGUGAAGAUACAAAUACACAAACUGUAUUAUUAUUCUCAUUAUUAUUAUUUUAUCACACCAAGAAAGAGCCUAAAGAGUAAUCAAAACUUCAAACUAGUGACACCAAGGCAUGUGAACAAGAAGCAAAGCUUGAACCAAAACUAGUGAUUGUUGAGCACAAAGAGAAGCAACAAUUGCACAAACUCACAAACAAACAAACAAACAAACAAGCAAUGACACAACCAACGAAGAUAAUAGUACUAGCAAAAAUUAGUUAAAGGCUGCAAUACCAAUGGCAAUGAUUGAAAGGCAGCUCCCAUUUUAUCAUAGAUAUGCUUAUAUUAACCAUUGCUUGGGGGCAAUCAACAUUGUCACUUCUUCCCAUUACACAAUCCUUGGUCAAGAUAGAGUAGCUACUCCCUCACUCACUCACUCAAUCACACACCCACCCACAACAAGCUCACUCACCGAGAAUGGAGGAUGCAUGGUGCCAAAAUUAAGCCAGCAAAAGCUAGCCAAUUGCCCAAAAGGGCUCAUUUCCCCCAAAAAUAUAUCCAGAGAAUGUAUAUUUUUUUGUAUAUAUAUUUAUAUAUAUAUACUACUUAAUAUUAAUAAUGAUGUUAAUCAAUGAAAACUUGGAUUCUUGAUUUUUAAAGGGCUUAUAUUCAUCACUCCCAUUUUGGCAUGAAUAUUGCAGAAUGUGCUGCUGACAUGCAUGGUGUGCUGUGAAAGAGGGCUGUGAACAACUCAAAAAGAUCAUCUCCUCCCACCCUGGUCCCACUUGCCCUUUUCUUAAAUAGUGUGUGUGUGAGAGAGAGCUUGAGAACUGGGUGUGGUUUCAGUGAAUGAGCUUGGAAUUAUGGAACCCAUCACACAGUGUAAGUCUCUUGCAUUUAAUUCAUUUGAGCGAUUUUAGAAAUGUUUGUUGUUUGUACUGGUGAAUGUGCUCAAGGCAUGUUCCUGCUCAUGCUUUGAAAAUUGCAACCCCCUGAUAUGAAAAAUCCCAGCAAUUUACUUAAUCAGAAAACUUUGAAAGAUUGUUGCACAAUUAUUAUUUUUUGUAAGUUUUACAAGAAGAGUGACUGAUUGUAUUGCAAUGUGUUUGAAGACAUUGGUGCCCAUUCUCAUGAAACCCUAUUCAUACUCUGAAUCCAGUCAUAAUGAACAAGUGCACAUGAGGCUAGCAUUCCAAGAUUCUAUUCCAUGGCUGGGCACUUCAUUUGCUGAUAAAAGAAUAUAUAUAUAUAUAUAUAUAUGUAUGUAUGUGUGUGUGUGUGUGUGUAUAUGCAUGUGUGCAAGUCAAACUGUCAACUAUUGUUGUAAAAAGGUGUCAUGUUGGCAUUAUAAACAGACAAAUUCCCCAAGUGCUUGUUGGAGUCUUGGGCUUGGUUUGCCACAUCAUCAUAUCCAUGUGGCUAGACUCUUCUUCUAGUAACAAACAAUUAUUGGAUGUUUAGUGAGGUGAUUUUCUCUGGAAAAGUGGACCACCACCAUUUCCCUAGUUUCUUUGUUUAUGGGGAUUUGAAAGCAUGUAUGAAGUGAAUAAUGAGUUACAUGAUUUUUUUCCAUUUUUUUUUAAGAAAAUGUUUAUAUUGGUGUGAUUAUUCAAGCUUGUCCAAUAGUAGUAUCAGAUUCACAGAGUGGUUAUAUUUGCAUGUUAGUACAAACAAAAUGUACAAAAAAUGCACAUGUUAAAGAGCUGUUUUAAAGACUCCUUGGUGAGCAUGUUUCACAAUCAGAAUGUUCAAUAUAUGGUAACUUUAUUACUUUAGAACCUUCUUUAGAAAUCAUUUUAUGACUAAAUUUAUAUGUUUAUCCAUUAUUUAAAGGUGAUUUGUUAUUCUGAACUUUCAUUAAUCAUGAAACCUAUGUCUAGUACAAAUAUUAAAUUUUGAAAUCAACAUAGAUGAAUUCAAAAAUAUAACUUGUAGUUUAAGUACUGCAUGCACAAUCUGGAAUUUUAAGUUACAGUAGUGUUUUCAUUUUAUGUUGAAUGUGUUUGUGUGUGCAUGUGCGUGGAUAUAUCUUUAUAUAUAUAUGCAUGAUGACUUGCAAGUUGAAUGGUUGUGUAAAAUAGUAAACUUUCAAUUCCAAAAGAUGCCCUUUCAUUUCAAAUAUCAAAUUUUUACAAGAGAAUAAUUCAGAAUAUUAAUCUUUUGUUUCCCAUGGAGAUUUAACCAAAAAAACGAAAUAUAAAAUUUUAGAAAAAAUAACUGAUAACAUAUAUAUAUAUAUAUAUAUAUAUAUUGCCUUGAAUACCACAAAAAAAAUUGGUAACAUCCUUUUAUCUAAAUUCCAAUCCUACACAUUGGAACAAGUCAAAGGCUGCCAACCACUAAUUGGAUGAUCAAUGAUCAAUUAUAAACACAAAAAUUGCUGCUCCAAUCAUUUUAGUUGAAAGUAGUUACUUUCUUUCAAAAUUAAUGGCAAUAUCUAGAAGUCACUUACACAGCUUACAACAAAAUGGUGGAAACCUGUUUCAACAAGUGAAUAAAGUAGGAAAAUAACAUAAAAAUCAUAAUGAACAAUGGCAAUAUUGUCUCAAGUUUUGCGAGUUUUUGAAAUAGGAAUGUGACAAAACAUUCCAAGCAAAUGUAAGUGUUAGUUCUGAAUACAAUCAGAUGUUGGAUGGAAUAGAAAAACAACCACCUGGUUGUAUUAUCCCUGCCCUUCCUUUCACAUAAAAUGUGCUGUGUUCUACACAUUGCUUUCUCCUAUUUCUUUUCAUUUCUAUUUCCCCGUUUGUUCUCAUUGUUGCCAUUUUAUUUACUUAUUAAUUUAUUAAUACAUUACUGUUGUUCUAUCAGGUUCUCAAAAUGUCUCAUUGUAGGAGGCUAGAACCUCAAUUAUGGGGUCCACAAUGGACCCAAAAUUGCACUUAAUAUGAGUGACCUUCCACCUUGCUACUUCUCCAAUGGCGCCUCCAUUUGGACAAAUCAAAGUUGGGCUCUUUCCCUUCCCAUGAUGGAAAAUUUUCUGUCAUCUAUAAACCCAAAAAAACAAAUUUCCACAAACGCUUGUGACAAAAUGUUUUGGAAAUGGGGUUUCGUAAUCUGUCUAACCUAUCAUCCUUUGUACAGCAUUUCCAAAAAAGAGGUUGGUGGAAACAUCCUCCUGGCAUGAUGUUUGCCAUGGCUUUUGCAUUGGUGUCUGUGUUUACACCUCACAAAAGGGUAGGCCCAGGCUGGGCUGGCCCAGCCCAGCCCAGCCAAGCCCUCUCCUGAGAAAAAGACCUAAGUAUAUAGGCUUCCUUGAGGUAGGACAAAGCAUGCAAAUGCCUUAUCAAGUACUGUUCCUCACAAUGGUGCCAAAAUAACAAAAUUUCGAGCCCUUUGUCAACUUGGCACCUUCAGCACCAUAGCCAUGGGCUUUGGUGGAUCAGCCUACCCCUCUUUUUGCAAAUCUUUUCCAAGUCCAUCUCCAUCUCCAUCUCCAGCUACCAGCUCAUUUGCCACCCAGCUGCAAUAUUGACAGAGCCAAAUGGUUGAGCUCUACAGACACUGAACUGAAGACAGAUGUUUUAUGAAUUUUGUUACUUAGUGUUAGCAAUGAUCUUGUGUUGUGUCAGUAUAAUUGGUGUGAAUGUCAAGGUGUUAGUGUUGGGAUUUCAAUUGGGUUUAGUUGGGUUGUUUGUUAUUACAGAAUUAGGUUUUGGUUUAAUGCACUCUGACAGUUCUUGUUGCACAAGGAAUUUAUUUUCAUGCGCUAGAUUUGCUAAUCACUACAAUUUUUUUUGGAAUUUGAGAGUUGUUUGUUGUUGCUCUUUGAACCCUUUUUCUCACCAAGGGGUGGAACAAAGCUAGGAAGAUAAGAUCAAACAAACAGAAACUUCACUAACAACAACUACUACCAUAACAAUAACAAUAACAAUAAUGUUAUCUUAUUUAUUAUUUAAGGUAUUUUAAAAUUUUUGAUACUGAUGUUAAGAUAUUAUCCUCUUUUUUCUUUCUUUUCUUUCUCUUCUCUCUUUCUUACCCCCCAUUCUUCUUCUUUUUUCCUUUCUACAUAUUAAUUCUUGAAAUUUUGGGAUGCUGGGUUUUUGAAGUGUUAGGAUGAUGUGGAGUGGUCUACUGCACCAUAUUUUGAACCAAUGAAAAAAUGUAACCUAAUAAAAUAUAUGUUUAAGCACUGUAAACAUAUAGACAAGUCUCUUGUAUAGACCAAAGAAAGACAAGAUUUAAGAAAAAAAGAAUGGAAUGUUGUUUAAAGCUUUUUAAAAUUUUAAAAUUUUUAUGUCCUUGUGCUAUAAAUAUAUCACCUAUGUUGGAGAUAAAGUAACAACACAUUAUAUCAUCAAUGAUCAACAUUUCUUUUGUUGGCUUUUUUCUUCUAAAUUUGCAGUUAAACUCUUACAUAUUGCAGGAGAUUCUCUCAAAAUUGCAAAUGAAUGGAACAAACUGAAUAAGUGUGUGUGUGUGUGUGUGUUUGUUUGCUUUCAUCUUAUUUCAAUAAUCUCUUAAUUGAAAUAGUGAGGCUAUGUGGAGCCCAAUCUUUUUAAAUGCCUGAAAUGUAUUGCAGACAAAGCUACUUUCUGCAACAAAACCCAAAAAAUAAAAUAUUUGCAUUUACUAUUGUAGAAGUUGGAGUGUGUUCCCAUUCAACCACCACAUAUUACCAUAGUAUGCUUCCAAUGGUCCAAAAUCAACUUAGUUAAUUGCAGUAUCAUAACAAAUCACCUUCCUCAAACACAUUGUGGACAUUAGCUGGACAUUAGAAUGUGCCAUUUGGAAGGCAGCGCAUUUUGUGUUGUUUGUGCUUGAAUGUGUUGAUAUGUACAUACAUACAUACAUCUUAUAUCCCAAAUCCCCAAACUAGUGUAUCUUUAAUAAAAAAUAAAUAUAAAAUAUAAAAUAUAAAUCCCACUUUUGGAGUACAAACUAUUUAAAAGCUUAUAGUUAAUAAAGAGGGAGAUCUAUUUAUUUCUACCAACAAAUGAUUUUACCAUGAUAAUAAUUUGAAAAUGUUUUACUUCACUAAAAUAAUCAUUGUGAUCACAACAUAUAAAAUUUAAUUAAAAUAGAGAGUAACUAAAAUAAACACUCAUACAUAUAAAAGAAAUAAUCAAGUUAAAUAUACAUGAAUGGGUAGAAACUCAAGUGGGCACAACUGUAGCUCUACACACCUUUGUGCAAUGAAGCACUUUCCCAACAAUUUCAAACAAGUUAUGAAAUCAUGUCAUGGAAUAGAUAACCAUUCCAAAUUACCUCACAGCCACACUACCUGUUGCUAUAUACACACACACACACACGAUUGUACAAGUUUGAAAAAGUUGCUUUACUUUUUGAAGCUAGAGGUCGGUUUUUCUCAACAGCUGGUGGCAACUCUACAGGCUGCCUGAAAGCCACGAGGGGAAAAGUAAAAGUUAAAAGAUAAAAGUAAGAAGUGGGGAAGAGCCUGAAUGAGAGAAGGUCUCAUAUCUGGGUGUGAACUCCAUCUAGUCUAGUCUAUAGCACCCAGAUGCCAAUCCACCCAACGGGAUUGGGCGUGCGUUUCUUCCUUCCAGCAGAGAGGGAGAGAGAGACCCUUCGGCUCGGGAUCAGGGAAGCUCAAAUUAGUUAAGCGGAGUGGGGGCGUGAUGAAGGGCGGCAUCUUAUCCCCCAACCAGGGAUUGAUUGACUGGAAGGGAAGGGAAUGCAAUUAAUUAUGACCUGGCUCAUGGGCCAAAUCCGGGGGGAGUGGGGGUGGGGGUGGAAGUACCAGAAAAAGCCCAUCAGUAAUAAUAGGAAGGUUCAGCGGCUGCAGCGGAGGAGAGGGAGGGAGGAGGACGAGGAGGUGGAGGAGAUUAGUGGUAUUUAUGAGGGAGAAUGUCAAAUGGGGAAGGAAGGACUGAGAGUUUAUUUGAAUGAAGUGAGACGACGGGGAAUGUUUUGAAUAAUCAUAGGGAAUAAUAUGACGUUGGUAUAAUUAAUAGCGGGAGAGAGAGCGAGAGAGAGAAAGAGAGGUCUUGAGCAAAAACCGAUAGGAGACCAGGAGCGGAACGGAACGGAGCCACGACUUGCGGCGCUGCUGAAAUUCCCCCUCUCUCGUUUUGAUUCUUGGAAUAUCUGUUGUGGCAGAAGUAGUGCAUUCUCGUCUUCUUCUGCGUCCUUUUUUUUUUUUUUUUUUUUUUCUUUCGUUGCUGUUGUUGUUGCUAAUGAUGUUUUUAUUUAUUUAUUUAUUUAUUUAUUUAUUUAUUUAUUUAUUUAUUCACUGUCAUUAUUGUUUCCUCCCCUAUCUUUAAGAAGCUAAUAAGCCAUCUGAGAAUUACAAAUGUUGAACAGCGAGGGAUUUUACUUUCGUUUCGUUUCGUUUCGUUUCGUCUUGUUUCGUUUCGUUAUUUAUUUGUUGAACUGAAUUUUUAGAAUAUAAUAUUUGCUGCAAUAACUGAGUGAAAUUUUAUUUGACCUUCGAGAGGUUCUCAUAGUUAACUUAACUUAACUUUUUUAAUUUAAUCUGAUUAUUUUCAUUUCUUAAUCGUGUAUAUCCAAUGAUGACCUAUUACACUCGAAAAGUGAGAACGCAUUGAAUGUUUGAAAACGGGAUGGAGGUGUAAGUGUGAAGGUUUGGUGAAGUUUGUGGCAGUGCGAAUGGUACAAGUUUGAAUAAGGGAGGCCCAUACUCCCCUUGUACACGGUGACCCUGAGUUUAAGGGGGAGUUCGCUGGGCAAUGCCGAUGUCGAAUGUGAAGCCUAGAAACGCUUCCUAGCCCAUGACGACAACCAAGGGAACAGCGCGAUUCACCGGCACUCACCGGCUGCUGCCAGCACAAGGCAAAUCAGCCCGCCUGACUUUACAACCGGCUGCUUCCCAGUCAGGUUGUAGAAGAAAAGAAAUUCUUCUUCUUUCGAGCUCUUCUUCCUUCACUUGCGUGCAGAGGUGUAUAUGUAAGCAGGAAGCGGAAUCGGCUUUUUUCAGCCCCGUUCUCGCUCACGGCAUCGUUUGGCCUGCCCCUGCUCUGUCCUUCGCUGAUAUUCCUGGGACCGUCUUCUGACCCGUGACACCAGCUUCCUUCAUCACAGCUUAUCUUGCUGUUUGGUGUUUACUCCUGCCUCCUCCUGAGUCCGGCCUGCUGCCUUGCUUACCUUGCCGUCUGGCGGGAUACUGGCAACUCCAUCCCUCCUCUCGCUGUACGAUUCUUGAUGCGAUCCUUCGUCGAUAUUGGGGUGUGGUUGGGGUGAGAAGGAGAUCCGGAGCUGAUUUUCAGCAUGUGGUGUCGAACCUGGUCUCCGGAUGGUCAAUGUGAUUCUGCGGUCCGGGGUCGAUGUAGAGCGUCAGACUGGCUCGAGUGCAAAGCACAUGCGAUGGAUGCUAGCAUUUACGCUUCCUUGUAAUUUUUUUAGCGUCAAGGUGGACGGUAAUGUGCCGAAGCCGUAACGGAAAAACACCUCCAAUCUAGAAAUUAUGGAAUAAGUCGUGCCUUCUCCACUUCUUGCAGUUCUCGGCUUUCCUCGCCAGGCCCAGGCAGCUUGGAGUGGUUCGUGAACCCCUGGCCGAGAAUCUCAAAUAAACACCAAGUAGUGUGUUCUUGCCGAACGCGUGGUUGCUGUCAGUCAUUUGGUGAACAUUUCUCUUUGCUUCACUCUGAAGUCUCAUGAAUUGCAGUUUAGUAGAAAGAGACAAGCAGCUUGUUCACUUUCCUCAGGCUUUUGACAACGGUGACCGAGUGUGCUUGCGGUUCUAACUUUCACUAGCGCCGGUAGCUGCUGAGCAUCAAAGGAUUAUCAGCUAGCCCAGCGCCGUCGAUACCUGCUUCAUUCUUUAUCGCUUCUCCUUUUCUGCCGUCACAACUGAACGAUUAUUGCGAGUAGAAUUUGACUACAGUUUUUCCUUCUAUGCAACUUGCCUUCCCAUGUUAUUUGGCUAAUUCUUGGGCUAUUUCUCUUGCGAUCUUGUCUGUAGUGCAGGUAUUAUUGCGACGAGUUCAGUAUUCUUGUGACGGUUUCCAUGUUACCUCAUGUGAUCUGCUUGGUCAUCUCAUCGUGGCUAGCUUCUCCACAAUUUCUCACCCUCGUUGGGAUCAGAAGAGAGAGAGCACAGCCCGAUGUCCAAUGUUCAGGUCGAAUGGGCUGUGCUCUCUCUCUUCUUGCUCCAACUUGGGUGCUACACGCAUCUAGGGUACCCGAAAUACUGCUGGUUCAAUUCAAGCCUUGGGCGGCGAGGCAAGGAACUCUAUUGUCACAAUAUGGUAUAACACUCCGGCUUAGAACAUCAAUUCAGCCGUACUACACCCAAGCCGGGAUUCGAAGAGAGAGAGCACAGCCCGUAACUUUCACUAAAGACCACUUAUUGUGGUUCAUUGGAGAUUUGAUGUCGGGCUGUGCUCUCUCUUUUCCAGUCCCUACUCGGAUGUGUCGCCAUCACGGAUGAUGAAAUAUGGCAACAGAUGACUAUUUUCUGAGUCAUAUUUCAACUUAGCAUUGAAGAUCGACGACCGGCUAGUUCCUCCUGAGACAAGUAACUUCGGGAGACUCUAUGUCGCAGCUGCCUCGCACAUCUAAAUAGUUGAAAAGACUUCGUCAGUCGUCCGCAUUAGCUGCGGUUUUAGUGACUGGAUAACGACAAUGAGCAUUCUGCCGUUUUGCGGAGCCCGUCUAACUAUGCCGUCCACGUACAACACUUUUGUUUUGCUCAAUACUCGUCUACCUUACACGACGAGACGCCGCCAGGUUUUUGAAGUAUAUUUUUGAUGCUGUGCAUUUCUUCUGUAGAAUGGCAACACAGGUGUUCAGAGAUCCUGAUUUCUCUGAUACACUUAAGUGCUACCCCAAGGGUCUUUUUGCGUGCAGAGACCGUGUUGUGCUCGUGAAAAGUAGAUUCAACGGUACUGGUAGAUGUCGCCCUCUCAACCAUACACACAUUAUGGACGUAGGUUUCCUUUCUAUGUGUUUGACUUCCAACCUACAGUGUAUUUCGCGAAGCGCUCUAACCUCCCUAGAGUAGGUACUUAUUCAUAGACAUCGAAACCAAGCUGAAUGUGCGAACUGUGCUGUGCAAUCGUUUGUGGUGGUGCUGACGCUCAAGCACACCAGUUGACGAACUUAAAAUGCUCUUGAUAGUAGUGCCUUUCUUGAGACCUAAUGUCUGUUGUAAUAAGCGUCUACAUGCAGUUUCUCAUUGUCCGACAUGUGCACCCUUAGAGUGACAAAUGUUGGGCUGAAAGGAUAAGUACUGUCUGUGGUGUGGAGCUUCACUGAUUAAGCUUGGCAAGUGCUUCUGUUGCCUCCAAUGAAGUUACUACUGGUGUGUCUGGCUCAAUAGGGUACAGCCUGUUGAGCCACUCUACUUUGCGUACAUGGCUUGAGUCUGUUCACAGACAAGUUUGUCUAGCACUUGAUACUUAAGAUGACUUAAUGUAAGGUAAGAACAAGAAGGUACGUCGAGAUCGAAAAUUGCAUUUGAUGCCAGUGUGAUGCAACUAUUAGUUUGAUGUGUUGAUUUUAUGUGACGAUACCAUAUGACAUCGAAAUAUUCAUGAUCAGUGGGUACAACUACUUGGCUGUGGUAAAACUUGCAGGAUGGAUCUUAUUUAGGCUAGAACCCUCCCAUGCAAUCCUGAGUGUUCACUGUACACAUUUGUGUUUGGAUUUUCCAUUGUACUGUAGUACAUCAGUUUUUAGGCUAAGGCUCGAUGCUGACCCCUUUAUCUUUUGUGGCACUCAUGCAGAAAAUGUUUGAACAGUCGUCAGACGACAGACUUGUUUUCUUCUCACAUAGCGCUUUGGAACUUAAGUCGUGUGGUGAAAGGUGUGCACAAGGAUACGUAGGUCAUUAACCACGUAAAUUUCUUCAGGCAGAAGCGUACGCUUACUUAGACUUAACGAGGUUUGUGUUUUCGUUUUAUCUCUAUGUUUCAUCAAGACUUCGAUGAUGCUAACAUCGAAUAUUAUUCUCGAUGGCAUGAACGUGUUACUCAAAUCGAGUCAUGCUUUAGUAUAGGAAUUGACUGUGUCCUCUUCAAAAUCGUUGUGAAUUUGGAGCCAGGACUCCCCAAGUAAUGAACAUGUUGCAGGCAGUGGCUUCUUGCCUGUAAUGUGGAGUGGAGGCCGCACAUCUCUUCAUCAGAAUGGGCUAGGAGCACCCUCAAUUUUACUGCAAUAUGGUUGGUUUUGCUUGGCAACUGACUGCAAAAGUUUUGUUUGACUGCUUUUGCUGGAUCUUCUAUCAUCAUUUGAUGCUUGUUGAUUAAGUACUCUGAUUUAGCUGCUACAUUUAUUGCCUUCAGAGGGCUACACGGAAUUGCUAUGUUAUCAUAUGCUAGUUGUAUCUUUACUUAAUGAGUGCCCCAAGUUGUUUGCAGGCUCAGGUUUCCAGCUGAGAAUACAAUGCAGCUUACAGUAUACAGCAGAAUUUGUGGUGUGGUACAGGAGUGUACACAGCGAGAAGUACUUAUGAAAAUGAAGGCUUCCCAGCAGAGUGAUACUUUUUUCUCCGCCAAAGCCAGACGAAUUCGUAAGUAACGGUACUAUUUAACGGUAUGUAUUUAACGGUACUAUUUAACGGUAUCUUCUUUAGCAAGCUCUUAAAAAAGUUCUAAAUUCUCAUGAAUAAUCUGGACUCUUCUAUUAUAAUCCUUGACCAUGUGAAGUCCAAGUUGAGGUUAGGACUGUCGGCGAUUGUCCUGAUCAUGCAUAAUUGCCAUGCAUGCGAAUCAUUGGUUGCUUCUACAGAUUUGUUGAAAAAGUUGAACUAUACUGAAGGUACCUUGAGUCCAAUAUCCACAUUAGACAAUGUCUAUAGCCCGUAAAUCUGUGAACAUGUGGCCUUUAUUUAGUAUGAUAUUCUGGAGGCCGUCGAAAUUGUUACUGCAACUUAGUUCUUUUCCUAGUAUGAUGUGCUUGGUUGUAAUUUAUCAGGAAUGCGAUUUCGCUAUUGGGUAGCGUCCGUGGCGAAAUAGUUCUGAAUGAGCAUGCAAAUUGAGCCUGUUCAAAGCAGUCAAGAUAAACGAAAGAUGCUGGGCAGAAGUAUAUUGUCCAACCAACUUAUCAGUUUCACUAGAAGACAGCUCAGUGUGAAUUGUGUUCUCGAAACGUAAGGUCUUGAGAAUUUGAUAAGAUAUAUAUUUCCCACACUGUCCAGCAUACAAUCAUAUUAUUAAAGAAUAGCUAGUAGUAGUAGCAGUACCACGACAUGAACUUGAAGAUGACUUUUUAAAGAGUUUUAUCCUUUUUGUGGCAGAUAAUAAUCUUUGUGACGUUUCUUGGUGGAGCUUGUCUCUUCUUAAAUUGAGGCAACUAUAAUAAUCUUGGACAAUAAGCCAUUGUCUUUCCGUAUUAUCCUGUUCCGGUUAUUGCAAUAUUGUCCAGCAUCACACCUUAUUCUCUUGGCGUGUCGAAGGUUAUUGGUUGACAUUCUCGUUGAUCGGGUUUGUAGGGCUUCCGUGUGAAGAAACCCUCUGACGUCCCUAGUGUCGUGUUUUAAUUCCCAUAUGCUACAUGCACUCAUCAUUUAACAAUUUUAAAUUUCGACUUUGAACUUGAUUCUUGCAGAUCACCAAGGUAUUUGAUUGGGUGUUUGCAACUGCUUGGACGAUUACCCCAGAUGUACGAGCUGUUAUAUUGAGUAUCCAGAACAAUGCAGUAUACAACUUUGGUAGGUUUGAGAUCGCACGGAGUGUAGUGAAUAUAAAGGUUAAUUUUGCUUUAUGAAUGAGUUCUCAGUAUAGAAAUAGCUGUACCGUGAUCGUAGCUCCGACGUUUGAGCCUUGUUUACCUCAUUAACGAGCGAAUGAUUUACUCAGGCAAUCCACUCGCCUCAAGAGACAGUGCAAUAGACGCACCGUUUUUUUUAUACAGACGAGAAUUAUCAUCUGGCUCUGCUCCUCAUUGCAUGGAAUUCUUGCAUGAGUGAUUGUGUGAUCCGCAGCGAACUUCUUUACCUCUGGAACCUAAGUUUGUCCAAGGUUCUGUACUCACUGCCUAGAGUAUUUUGGGGAAUAACCUUGAUUUCAGAGCAAUAUCUGCGUAUCGUCUCUUUCCUGCGAUCGUAACCGCAGUUUAUGCAUAAAUCCAGCCUCCUUUCAGCUGGAUUUGACUCGAUCUGGGACAAGUGCAAGUGCCACUCAUUAGUCAUCAAUAGCAUGGCCGUAGUAAUAGCAAGUACUCGAUAUUCUUCGUAUUGACCAAACAGUGGAAUUUCUCUGACGCUGUAUCGCCGCGACACUGGCUUGAGCUCGACUUGUAUGGGUUGUGAUGGCAGAGAAAUCAAUGCGACGCGUUGCACGCCGAGGUGCGUGUAGACCUUAAACGAUUGGACGGCCGCCGAGUAAACUUAUGAAUCCCUGUCAAAAUCCCAACCAUCUCAAGCGUUGAUUCCUUCGGCUCGGAUUCAGUUGCUGACUCCUCCAUUUCUUUCAGUUGGAGAUGAUCCAGAAAAACCCAUGUUCAUCUAUUGCGGACGUCAUGUUAAAUUUAAACAAGUCCUGCAGUCCUGCGAAUUUUAGCGACUGUUUUGUACUCGUCAUAUAUACCUGCUCCAUAGUCUGUUGUAGCGUUAGACAACAAGUGAUGGUGAUGUGAUACACAUUAAGCUGGUAGACUGGCUCUUCAUAGAAUACAUGUCACAACGAAUAUGAUAUGGAAGGCCCCCCUUCCAUGUGUUCAUCGUUGGGUGAAGAGAGCGCUACAAGACAAGAUGCAAACAAGCAAUGACUCAGCUCCCACUACUGAUCAUUGAUGAGUUACAGUAGGGUAUCCAUCUUACCUGUAGCGGUCUUCCUCAGCAGGUUCAUUUGUGGGUUUUGCACUAACUUUAGUUGCAGUUCUGGAUUGGAUGGUGCAAAUUAAAGUGGGUUUUCACUUAUCGGCAUCGGUGACCUGCGAAACUUCAGCACCAUCUAGAUACUCUGCAUGAAAGGAUGCCGUUAGUGUCAGCCGUAGUGAUGUAAUACAGCUUUUCUGAAGUUACCUGAUUCUCGUCUGCACCUCGCGCUACCUGUCAGAUCAGGUACUGCAUCAGAAGUUGAGCCUGAAGCUGAAUGUCCAAGCUUGCUUUGGAAACAAGCAGGCAUUCAGCGCUUGCACUAUGUAAUUGUGUAGUCAACCUGGUUAGGCCAGAAAAGAGGAUAAAUUGAAUAAGCAAGUACACAAAGAGAAUGUUAUAUAAUGACACCUCUCCAUGCUUUGAGGGCCAUUCCUCAAUGGUGGAGUACACCUGUGAUCUGUUGCUCUGCCUCGCAGUGAUAUCUGCUUUCUAUUUAUGAAAGUUUGCCGUUUAGAAUGUCAUAAAAUUCCUGUCUCAAUUUAUGUAUUUUAUGUUUUACACAAAUAAGGUAUACUUGCUGUAAUGGUACAACUGUGACAGUGUCCAAAACCCUAAAACUUAUUUAAGGAUGGAAGCAUAUGCUUGUGUAGUGGGUUCCUCAUCUUUUUAGAUUGAUUAUUGCUCUCCAUACACUAAUCACAAUUCUUUGAUUUCAAAUCAUCCAAUUUACUGUACUUUUUUCUUUUCUUUUUGACAAUCAGACAUAUAAUUAUAAGUAUAUUUAUAUUUAUUGACAUUGUUCUAUGUUUGGUUGAUGCUAAAAUAUUAUCUUAAUGAAGGUGUUGAACUAAUCUCUGUCUAGUUUUUUCAAAAUAUGACAUCAUGGGGGCUCUUAAGGACCACCAGUAUGAAAUUCAAUGCAAUUUUUUUGUACGAUAACCAACCAAAUAAAAAUACUAACCUUGAACAAUCAAUUUUUAAUUGAUCAUUUGAAAGCUUUGGGUCACUUUUCUACCAAAUCUGUUGAUAUUUGUUGACUGUUUAGUGAUAGAUGGUGCCGAUUUAACUAUAAGUAAUAAAUUGUUUUUUCCCUUCUCAGUGUUAACACAACCAUCCAAAGUCUCCAUGCUUGUUGUUGUUGACAAAUAUUGAACUUUAUUUUUUUUGGAUUCUGCAUGAGUUAGCCCUGUGAAAAAUAAAAAAUUAAUUUACUCCCAAAUACUUUAAAAAAAAAAAAAAAAAAAAAAAGAAGAAGAAGAAGAAGAAGAAAAUGAUAGUAACGUUUCAUGUAAAAUAUGAGUUAUUGAUGAGCAAGUUCCAUUACAUCUCAUCCAUGUGAGAAUGCCUAUCUCUGAUGUCAUUGAGCACAAGAAAAAACUGUCAGUUGGUGUGUAAGGCUCCCAUUGUCCAUUGUGCUGCCCCUAGACCCCACCACCAAAGUGUAGUUUUGUGAUAUAGUUGAUCAGGAACAACUCAAAGCAUGUCAUCCUAAAGUUUAGAUUGCAACAAUAUCGUUUUUGAGAUUGAUGAAGGUUGCAGGCUCUGAUAUCUCUGCUUGUUAUAAAUUAGGUGUUUCCAUUAUACGGCAGUGCUCAUGUGAUGAAUGCUGCAGCGAAUCCCACUCUUUCUUUAUAAUAAUAAAUAAAAAGCACUUGGAAUAUCCAGUUCAUUUCACAAUAUAAGAUUACAAUCUAUAUUCAAUGAUUAGUAAUUAAUUAAGAAAAUUUAACGGGAUGGUUAAUAUAUAUUAGUUAAGAUAAGAUAAUAAUAGCAGAACCCCAUGCAUUUCAGGACCUUCUUUUUGUAUCAACACGUUAUAUUAAAUCAUGUUAUUAUUACACUCCAAAAAACUCAAAGAUGCAGGAUAUUUCACACCAAUCUCCCCUAAUUUUUUUGGCAUCCAAUUUGAUGCUUUCCUAUUGGUUUAACUUCAAACAACCAAAAAUAUCUAAAUAUUCUCUCCUAUUUUUCCCCUGCUCCCGCUGAAACAGAAUGAUAUAUUUUUGGAACUUUCAAGUGGUUUGAUUAGAAAUUGGACCAAUGAGAGAGGACACGGUUAGAAUAACCCUGAAAGUAGGAAGCAUUAAUGGUGGCUAUAAUCAAGCUUAUUUACUUUUUGUCAAUUUGAAAGGGGUCCCAAACAAAGAUAGUUAUGAGUAAUUAUCAUUUGUUACUUAUUGUUUGACACAUCUCGAGUAUACUUGUUGCAUAAAUUUAAAAGAGAAGAUACAGAUCAGGAUUGGGACUGGGCUUAUGAUGGAGCUCCAAGAUUACCAAUGAGAUAGAGAGGCACUGUGAUUGUAAGUGAAGACAUAUCUUUAUUGUCCAUACCAAAGUAGGAAGUGACCAACAAUUGGAGACAUGGAUUAGGUUUAGGGUUAGGAUGACACCACUACAUGGCUUCCAACAACAAUGCCAAUGCAAUCCAAUUAGGCACAAGGGUGACAUAUACUAAGACACAAGGGAUAAUAUACAACAACCACAAGGACAAGAAUAUAGUAGAUGCUAUUGUAUUGUAAUACAAAAAUGUGGUGAAAGAUAAAAGUAUAGAUUCUAUUACAGAAGAACUUAAUAGAAUGAUACAGUACCAAAACAUUGUUAAAAUCUAGGGAGGUAAUAAAAGAUUUUAGUAUUAAUAUAUAUAUAUAUAUAUAUAUAUAUAUUUUCUCUCUCUCUCUUUAUAUAUAUAUAUAUAUAUAUAUAUUUAUAAAAUAGUUUUCUACUUAUUUUGAAUAACUAUAAAUAAAGUAAAAAGUAAAUUAAAAAAAAUAGACAUCUUUAGGAGAAAUUUGGAUUUUUGAGAUCUUAAAAAAUUUUAUUGAUUUAAUUUAAACAAAAUUUUGUAAAAGCAUAAUAGGCUUGGAUAUCUAUACUUUUGUAUCGUCUUGGAGAGCAGCUAAAUGAUUCAAUAAGGAAUAAUUGUUGCUCUAAGAUCAACAUCUAAGUUUGAGAAAGAUAACAAUCAAUACUUAAGUAUAUUAGGAGCUUUUUUCUUAUAUUGGUAGGUUACAUUUUAUUCAAACUUUGUGUAUUUAUUGUUGGCUUGAAGAUUAAAAUAUGAAUAAAGGUUAGUAAAUAUCAAAAAUUUAAUUAAUAAAUAUUAGGAUUCUAAAACAACUAUAAAAGUUUGAUUAUAAUUUAUUUAAGGUUUUUUUGGAGGUACAUUAAGUUUUGGUUAAGAUUUACUUAUAAAUUAUUUAUGAUUUAUUUAUGAUUUUAUUUUUCUUAUUUUUAGUAUUAAAUUAGGAUUUAUUUAGUAUUUUUAUAAAAUUUAUUAUAUUUUUAAAGACAUAUUUUUAUUUUUUUAUUAUUUAAAAAAUAUUAGAUUUAUUAAGAAUUAAUUAAGAUUUGAUUAUGAUUGCUGUUUAGUUAGAAUUUAUUUAGGAUUCUAUUAGAAAUGUUAAAUCUUUUAUUGCAAUUUUAAAUUUACCUUCUAUAGCUAAUUGCUUGGUACUUUUUCAAAUAAGUUAAUACAAUAUAUGGAAAUAUGGAAUUGAAGUUGUUCUUUGCAAUGAACAUUUGCAUUGAUUUUUUUUAUUCUUCAACUUUCUUUAAUUGUGCUUUCAUUGUUGUAUGAAACUUUACAAAUAAUUUAUUAAAUCUUUCAUUAUAAAAUCAUCAAAUUUUAAGAAUUAUAAUAUCAAGUUAUGGAUGAUAAUUAUAAUUAGCAUAAAAUACUAAUUAUAAAAUGAAAGAAUGUAUUAUAUUAUUGUAGAAAUAUUUUACUAAUGAUAGAAAAAAUUAUCCAAUUAUCUUAUUUCAUGGAUAUAUAUCUAUUAUACUUGUUACUUAGGUAAUAUGAAUGAGUAGAAUUAGAUAAAAAUAGAUUAAUUUCAUACUAUCUUUUACAAAAGCUUCUUAGAAGCUUUUUAGAUGCUCUUUGAUUUUACAUAUGUUUGUAGUUGAUUGAUAGCUUAGAAACUUAAUUAAAAAGCUACUCAUGUGCCACCCACAUGUGUUAGUAGCUUGUAGAACAAGCUAACUAUGUGGCAUCCAUAAAACUUACCUUGUAAGUUAAGAUAUGUGUCAUGUAAAGUUAAUAUGUUUUUGUAGAUACUAUAAAAUGUUGCCAUCUAGAUCUUAUAUAGAUAGUAUAUAUAGACGCAAGAGUGAAGCCUUCUUCACUCUUGUCAACUCCUUUCUUAUUUCUAGUCUAGUUUCAAGAAUCUUUAGUUUCUUUGUCUUUUGAUAAUAGCCAUUCUAGUUUCUUUUUAAUAUACUUACUUUUUAAUUUUUAAUUUUUAAUGAAAUAUAAGCGUAUUAGAAGUUGUAGAUUAUCUUCUUCUAAACUAAUAUUUUUCUUAGUAUUUUUUUUGUUCUCAAGUCCUCUUUUUUGCUCGUCUUAAGCAAUAUAUAUAUAUUUUCUUUCUUCUAAGUGUUAUCAUGGCAAAGCUUCUUAAAAUAAAGAGUGCAAUGGCACAAAUACAACAACAAUUGAAAGAGUUGAUACUUAUAAUGCAUCAACUCAAUUUAUAGGUACCAAAAACAAGAGAAAUGAUAGGAAGUGAAGAUAUAGACAUGAUUGGAGCUGCUUCAACAUCUAUACCAAAUCACAUCUUUUUUCUUAUAGUAAAACACCCUUCUAGUAUUAGAGAAUCCAAAUUUUUCUUAUUUGAGAAGUUUAAUGGCAUAAGAUUUAAAUUUCAAGGAUUUAUCAACCAAGUACAACUUAUAAUUGAACUUCAUCUUCAAAGCUAUCCAACCCUUAGAUCACAAGUUAGAUUCAUUGAUACACUUUUUUCAAGUUUGAUAUUAUCAUGGUUUACAACUUUUCUUGAACAAUGAGAUCUAAUAUUAGAUAAUCUAAAGGCUUUUUUGGUAGAAUUUUGAUUUAUGCAUGGAAAACAUGAUGCAAUUUAGAUUGCAAUUAAUAGGAUCCAUAUCUUGCGACAAAGCAAUCAAUUAGUGAUAUCAUAUAUUUUACAAUUUUAAAAACUAGCAAUUGAUAUCAAGUAGAAUGAUGCUGCCUUUAUCAAUAAAUUUUUCUACAUAUUACAAUAUGAAGUAAAGAAAUUGAUGCUCAACUUAUCUGAUCUUUAGACAUUGAGUUAAUCAAUUGAUUUUGCUAUGAGAUCUGACAAUUGACUUUUUGAGUUUUAAUCUGAGAAUUGUGCAAGAGAACCUCUAUGCUUUUACAAUUCAAUGACAGCACCAACAACUUCUCAAUCUAAAUAUUUUGAAGUAAAAGUCAUGCAAAUUAAUGUGAUACAUUUUAAACCUCUUACUGAAUAAGAAAAGGCUCAUUGUUGUCAAGAAGGAUUAUGUUUAUAUUGUAAAAAAACUAAGUAUAGUGCUUAACAUUGUCCAAAAAAACAAUACAAUUACAAAAUAAAGAAUACAACUGUCAUGAUGAGAAAAUGUUGAAAAAUAAAUUUGUCUAGGUAUAAUAAGAAUCAUGCAACUGAAAUCUUAUACAAAUAAAGGUCCUAUCCUCUCCUCAAAAUCUUCUCCUUGUUUUAUGAUAGAUGUGCAUUUAAGACCUAAUAAUCACAAAGCCUCUACUUUAAUAGAUUCAAGAGUAUCAACUUAUUUCUUAGAUAAAGAAUUUGUUAAAAUCAUAGAAUACCAUUAGUACAAAAAAUUAAAUCCGUACAUAUAGAAAUCAUAAAUGGCCGUCCAUUAUCUUUUGGAGAUAUUACUCAUAAAAUACUUCUUAUAAAUAUAGCAAUAAAUGGUUAUAAUAGUUGCAUAAUUUUUAAUAUAAUUAGAUUUUCCUCUAAUUCGGCCAUUUUAGGUUUAUUGUAGCUAAAAAAGUAUAAUCCUCUGAUAGAUUGGAUUUCUCAUAAACUUGAUAUUUCUCAAAGCAUUAUUAAGAGUUUUAUAGAAAGCCAUUAAUCUAGUAUAGCCAAAGCCAUACUUGUAGGCUUAAAAGCUUUUUUGCAUACUAUAAAAGAAGGAUCACCUUUUAGUAGUUCAAGUAAAUAGAUAGGAUACUCCAAGACAUAACAUGAUUUAUUAAUUCAAAAUAUUUGUGAAAUCAAAAGACUAAUAAAAAUUUGAAUAAUUAAAAAUUUAAGGUAUUUUUUUAUUAUUAUUAAAAUCAUUUUUGUCGUACUUUAAAAGAUCAAGUGUUUUCUUUGAUUAUUAACUUUUAUAAAAAUAUAAUAAUAAUAAAUAAUUUUUAUUAGAUUUAAAAAUUUUAGAAUUUCAAAAAAUAAUUGAAUAUAAAUAAGAUUAUAUAUAUAUAUAUAUAUAUAUAUAGAGAGAGAGAGAGAGAGAGAGAGAGAGAGAUAUCAAUCAAAUUUAUAUAAGAAUUAUUAGUUUUAUAAAAAAAAACAAAAAACAAAAAACAAAAAAGAAUCAUAAGAACCAAUAUCAUAAAUAUAAAAAAAUAGUCUAAUAAUAUCAAAUUAUCAAAGAUAUUAAAUUUUUAUUAAAUUUUUUCUAAAUUUAAAUAAAUAUAUCUACAAAAAUUUAUAAUUUUUGUCUUUUUCUUUCAACUUAUUAUUGAUUACUAUUCUAGUUCCUUGCUAGGUAGUUGGUUAGUUAAUUUUUUACUUGAGUCUUAAUCACUUGCUAUAUUUUUCAUUGCUUUGAUGACAAAGUGCUCUAAGAAUAUUGCUUUGGGAUACAACAACCAAUAUGUGAUGUCCAAACAUUUAAAAUCAAAUCUAUGUUUUUGAGUUGUGACAUAAAGAAUAUAUUUGGUUUUAUUUUUUAUAUGGAAUAAAUUUGGAUUUUUUACUUUGACAAGACCAUCUUAAUUGGAUGCGGUUUGAAAUUAUUUAUAAUUGAUAUAUAGGUCUAUUUUAAGCUUUAACAUUAUACAAAGGUUUCUACAUAAAACAAGCCUUAGGAUUUUAGCACAAUCAUAGCCACUCAUAAUAGCUAUAUGUUUCCAUGUUAAUGCAAUAGAUGUCUCUAUUACUAUUUUAUUUAUCUUACAAAUGAGUAUCACCAAUCACUCUCAUUUUCAUACUGAGCAUUAUUAGAUCUAAGAAAUCUAAGCCUUACUUAGCAUCAACCACAAUUACUUGGCUUGCUUACUAAUUGUUGAAAGGUCCAUACCUUCACUUUUACACACAUGUCCAUAUCUUGUGACAUUAUUCUAUUUAGUGCAAGUAGCGGCAUUGUCAAAGUAGUCAACAAAGAUUGUUUUGUCUUGCUUGCUUUUUCUAAAAGAAUAGAAAAUUGUGUAAAAUUGAUUAGACAAAGGAGUAGUCUAGUAAAGGUGUGGUGGAUUGGAUCGAUUGCAUUGUGUGUGCAAGUUUGUGAGAUUAAUUUUUGCAAGACUAAGUAGCUAUUAUUUUCUUUUGAAGUAUUUUUUUUGCAAUUUUGGUUGUUUUUAGAAUUGAGAAAGUAAAUAGUUUGUUGUAUUGAUUGUAAAUGGAUAUAGUUUUUUUUAAAAAAAUUAGAUGAGAAUAGAAUAUAAAUAAGUAAUUAUAUUAAAUAUAAAUUUUUAUAUCACAAAAAAAAUAUUUAUUUAAAAUAUAUAAAAUAUUUAUUUUAUCAUCUAAAAUAUUUUUAUAUAUUAGAAUCUAAUUUUUUUAUGAUAUUUUUAAUAAGUUCUAUGUUUAUAUAUAUUAAUAAAAUACUAAGUUUUUUUUAUAUUUUAUUAAUUUUAUAAUAAUAGUAAAGAAUCUUAAUACUUUGCAAAGAAUGAAAAUAAAAUAAGAUUAAAAGAUUCUUUGUAAGUUAUAUAUUUACGGAUUUAGAACACAUAAUUGAUUGUAGAUGUAAUCAUUUUUUUUUUUUAAUGAAGGAUGUAUUUUUGCUUCAUGGUUGAACUAUGUAGAAGAAUGAACAUAGGAAUAGAUAUAGGAUUUUUGAAUUGGUGUAGAUGUGAUGCUUUUAUUAUCUUUAUUUCUUAUGUUUUAUUGAACUUUUGAUGAAAAAUUAGAAAUUUUAAGAGUGUGGUGAUGAAUCAAUGUGAUAAGUGCUUUUAGGUCUAAAAAAAUAGAUAUUGUUAAUUAAUUUAUUGAAUAUAGCUUAUGAGAUUCACAAGUUUAAAUUUUAAAUUAUUUAUUUAAAAUUAAAAUUAAAAAUUAAACUUUUAAGCUUGACCCAAAGAAAAAAAAUAUUGUUCUAUGAUAAGUCAAAAAUCACAAGAAUGUGGUAAGGAGUCAUUAUCAUUAAUACUACUAAAUCUAUUAAACAUAAAUAUAAUUAUCUAAAUAAGUAAAUAUAGUGUAUGUAAUUUUUAAGUGUAAAUUUGAAAUUAAAAAAUAUAUUAGGAAUUUAAAAAAAAUAGAUUUAAUAGUAAAAUAAAAUUUAUUUAUAAUAUAUUAAUUUGUAGAAUUAUAAAUAAAUAAAUAAAUAUUAAUAGUUGAAAGUUAUAUUAAUUAAAGCUUGCAAGAAGAACUUAUAGUAUAGCUGGUUGAUGUGCAUAUAAGAUAUAAUCAUUUUAGAUUUUUUUUGGAAUUUAAGUUUUUUUUUAACUCAAUAAAAAGAAGGUGGAUGUAUUUAAAGAUCCUCAUGUUAUGAUACAAAGAAUUUUUCAAUGAAUUUGAAGAUAAAGAUUUUUAACUAGUAUAGAAAAAUUUAAUGAUUAUUUAAAAGAUAAUGGAAAAAUAUCAAAUAUGAAAGGUAUUGGUAGAUAUAUUUAAAAAGAAUGUUAAGCUUGUGUUGAAAUAUUAAAGAUUUUAUUGAAGAAAAAAGGCUUCUUCAAUUGAAAUCAAUGUACAAAUUUAUAUAAGAUCUUUAAGCAUAUUACAAAGGUUUUUGACCACCUAAUGGCUUGUAGUAAUAAUAAAUUAUAAUUUAGAUUUUAUUAAAUUAAUUAUUUUUAUAUUAAAUAAAUAUUAUUAUCUAAUAGAAAAAUAUGAAAAACAAAAUUGGUAUAAAGAAACUAUGUUUUAAUUGAAUAACAAAGAAACGCUUAGAAAACUACUAUAGAAUUUGAAAUAUUAUUAUUAUAUAGCAAAUAAUAUGUUUUCAAAGCAAUAUCCUAACAAAUUUGAAGACAUUAUAUUUGUUAAUUUUGAUAUUGCAACAUAAAAUGAAAUAAAAGAUAAUGUUAAAUUUCUAUAAAAAAAAUUUAUCUCAGUAAGUAAAAAAAAAUAAAAUAUAUUGAAUAUUAUGGAUUAGCAAAGCAUCUACUACAAAAAUUAGAAGACUCAUAGUACACAACACGUGGAGAUUUAAAACUAUUACUAGACAUAUAUAAUCUUGAAAUUGUACAACACAUAAAUCAAUAAGCUUUUAGAGAAGUUUAUAAAUUAAAGUAGUUAGCAUUUUUGUGUACAAUUAAAAAAAUUGAUGCUAACUUUGAUGAAAUUUUCAUUAAAAAGUAAGCAUUUCUAGUAAUUUUAAGCCAUUUCGGUUUAAUAACCUAUUAUUUUGUAAUAAAAGGAAAUGCCAAUGAAAGAAUUAAAUAUUCUAUUAAAAAGGAUAAAAAAGAGUAUUUAUACUUGGAUAUGGAAUUAAUGCAAAAAUAUUUAGGCAAUAUAUUAGAAGAAAUAAAUACAUAACUUAUAUUUUUUGCAUAGAUAUUACAAAAUUACAAAAAGAAUGUGUUAUUUGUAUGAUAUGGACAUUGCGCAUUGUGAUUUAAUGCCUAGGAAUAUUUUGGUUGAUAUGUAUAAUCAAAUUAUAGAUAGGAGUAUUCAAUAUGCUAUUGUAAAAAUGAUUGAAUUUGGAUGGAUCAAGAUUGAAGUUGAAAGAACUUCAAAAGCUACAAAGAAUAAUCAAAUUUGUGAUACUCUAAACUAUAUGGCUCAAGUGGUUAUGAAAAAUGAAUUUCAAACAAUAAUAAUGUGUCAUUUUAAAGCUGAUGAUUAUUUAUUUACAAUGAUAUGUUCUAAAAUCCUUUCAAGAAUACAAGCCAUUUGGUAAUAUUAGCAUAAAGAAAGAAAUGUUAGAAAAAAUUAAAAAAGAUGAUAGAUCAAAAUUACCUUCAAAUUUUGAUGACUUGAUUGAAUUCAUCCAAGAAUAUUAAAAAUUGAAUCUAUUAUGUUUUCUAAAGUUUAUAAAUAUUUGUGAAAGAUAAAAUUUACUAAAUAAAAAAAUAGAAUUAAUAUUAAAUACACAUCAUAUUUUGGAGCAUCAAAAAAAUAGUUUCAUUAAAGUAUAGAAUUGUAGCAUAUAUAUAAUAGAUUUCUUUUGGUAAAUUUUUUAUUAAAAACUAAAGUAAUUAUAUAUUAAGUUAAAUACAUUGAUUGUAUUUAUAUUAAUAUGUAUUUUUUAUAGUAUAAUAAUAUAUAGAUGUCUUAUUAUGAACUCAAGUUAGUAAAUCUAGGUUAAAAUAUAGUAUGUGCAUUAUUUUAUUUUAUUUGUUGAUUUAUGGAUGAAUUAUUUUAUUGCAAGUUGAUUUAUUUGAAGGAAAUUUAUUUGGUAGAGUAAAAUAUUCAUCAAAAAUGAAAAAAAAGUGUGCAAAUAAUGAAAAGGUAUCAUAGCUUGUUAGAAUGGAUGGAAUAGACAAGAAAUAAAAACAAUAUUGAUUAUUGAAAAAAUAAAUACAAUACUUUAUGCUUUGUUGAAUGCAUUUGAAAGUAGUAGUGAUUGUUAUAUAAUUUCUUGCAAUAUUUUAGAACAAUAGAUGAAAAAAAAAUUCAAGAAAUGUUGAAAUCAUUCUUGAUAGAAAAUAAAAUUAUAUUGGUCUUUGAUAAUGUGAAGAAUUAAAGUUAAAUUCAAGAUGUUGUGCCUGUGGAUGACAUAUAUGCUAGUAAUGGUUGGACAUUGAUUAAGGAAAUUUAAGAUUUAAAAAAAAUAGAAUAUUGUGGUGAAAAAUUUUAUAUAAUAAAUAUUGAAGAACAUGAUGAAGAAAUAAAUAUGAAGUUAUUUAUGACUCAUUUUUAAGGCCAAUGAAAUUUGCCAAAUGAACUGGUUGAGAUUGGAAAAAAAUUUGUAAAAGCUUGUAAUAGCCUGCCAUUGAGUUUAAAGGUUAUGGAAGAAUUUUUGAGAGAGAAUAAAGAUUGAGAUGUUAGAAGCAAGUUUACAAAAGUUAAAGAAGGGAAGAGAGUUGGAUAGAGAUGAAAACAAUAGUAACUACAAAAUUUGGAAUAAAAUAAGAAUAAGCUUUGACAAUUUGAGAAUUAAAUAAAAAAAUAUAUUUAUAUAUAUAUAUAUAUAUAUAUGUUGUAGUUUUGUGAAUUUACAAGGCAUGUCAAAAGAAAGAGCAUUGCAAAUGUGUGCUAAUUAUUUAAAAAUAUAUAAUUAAAAAAGAUAUAGAAUUAAUUUUUGAUACAUUGAUUUACCAAUCAUGGUCUACAUCAAAUUUACCACAUUUAUAAUAUCUUGUAAUAUAAGGAAUUAUAAGAAGAACAAAAAUUAAUUGAUAAAAAUUAAUAAAGCUUGAUUUAAAAUUUUAAUUUAAAUAUAAAAAAUUAAAAUUAAAUGAAUAUCCUAUAUAUAUAUAUAUAUAUAUAUAUAUAUAUAUAUUGUGUGAUUAAAAAUAUUUUAUGUAAUUUAUUUUUAAUAAAGAUAAAUUUAACAUUGAAGAUACAAUACUAAUAAGUAACAAUAUCUUAUUAAAAAAAAAAAAAAAAAAAUCUAGUCACAAUAACAACCAAAAAUUUCUUAUAAAAAUAUCUAAUUAAUUCUUUUAUUUUCAACUUUAGUUUUUGAUACUUAUAUGAAUUAUACUAAAACAUGCAAGAAUUGAUAUAAAGAGAAUUUUAGAAAUUAUAAAAAUAAAAUUCUAUAUUAAUAAAUAUUUUUAAAUAAUAAUAGUAAUUACUUAUAUAGACUUUUGGAAUUAAAAAAUAAAUUUAGAAACCAUUGCAAAGAAGCAAACAAUGUGUAUUAUGGUUAAUGCCAUCUUGUUUCUAUUAAAUUCCAUAAUCCAUAUAAUAUUGUAGUUUAAACUAUACAGUUCAAUAGUUGAUUGAUUAAUGCAAAGAUCUUAAAAGAGUAUUAACUGAAGAAUAAAAAAAUGAUGUAUUUUAGAUAUCUAGAAGCUAAGAAAAAAAUUAAAAUAAAAUAAAAAAAUUAGCAAAUUAUUUAUUUAAUAUUUGACCUUGAAGAAUAUAUUUAUGAGAAAGAAGAUAGAUAUAUUACCAAAGCAUCAACUAACUAAUUAUGCACUUAAAAUUAUUAAAAGGAAUAAAAUUUUUAAAAUAAAAAAUUACUACUUAUUGAAUAUUAUAUUUAUAAAAUUAUAAGAAUUUUUUUUAAAAACCUUAAAAUUUUUGAAUUAAUAAUUAAAGUUAGAAGUAAGAGAAUUUAUUCUAUUUAUUGUGUAAAAAUAUGAAAUAUUAAAUAUGCAUACUGAUUAUUUGGAUCUAAUAUAUAUAUAUAUAUAUAUAUAUAUAUAUAUAUAUAAUUAUAAUUUUAAUUAUUAAGAUCAUUAAAUUUAAAAUUUAAAAAAACUAAAAUCAAGACAAACUAAGACUCCUGCAAAGAUUGGCCUAAAAAGGGCUAAAAGCCUUGUUAAAAUUAAGUAAAAAUAACCAAUUUAUAUAAUUAUAAAAUGCAUGCACAUUUUGAAAAAAAUGCAUAUUAAGUAAUAAUUUUUUCUAUUACCUACUAUUAAAUUUUAACAAUGCCACAAGAUGUUACUCUUGGAUAUUAAUUAGGUUAUGAAGUGGAUAAAAAAUAAAUUAAAAAUCAAGAAUUUAAGACCUUUAUAUAUUUUACAUAUAAAUUUUUUAAAAAUAAAUUAUUCUUUUUUUAUUUCAAUCAAAUUAAAAAAAAAAAAAAAAAAAAAAAAAAAACCAAGAAGAAUUAAAGAAAUUUUAAAAAAAUGCCCUUGCAAUUUGCUGAAAUAUCAAGAAUACCCAUGUAUUCUUAUAAUCGCAAAACUGCCCCUCAUACCCGUGAUAAUAUCUAAUCUACUCUGACCCUGAUAACUUCUCAUUCAGAAUCCACAUUUAGUGCAAACUAGGCACAAAGUGUGUGUUGUGUAUACUUCAGCACGGUAUUGAGCUUGUUUUCUCAUAUGGUCCUAAAUUCUUUGCCUACAGUACCACUGCUCAAUGCUUGCCAUGCCUGCUACUCAUUCCUCAUUGCUUGCUAUGUCUGCUACUUGCUGAUAACCUAGUUUCCCACCAUUCAAUGCAAUGAAGCAUGUGAUUUUAGUGUAACAAAAUUUUAUAACAAUGCAACAUAGAAUAGGAUCACAGCCAACUACAACAACAAAUAAUGAUGAUUCAAUGUUUGAAAUGUAAUAAGGUUGUAAUUAAUGAAUUAUUUUAUUUAUUUAUUUAUACAUUAAAAUAUCACUUCUUUUUCUCUUAAACGUAUUUCAAGAGUAUAUAUAUAUAUAUAUAUAUAUAUAUAUUUUUUAAAAUCUAAUAUGAUAUAUCAUCUUGAACUCAUACUAUAUACAAUAAAACAGUAUAUGAAUUUCAAAACCUCAUUCGAUAUAUGAAUAUAAUGUUUAUGAUAUAAUAGCAUAGACAUUUGAACUCAGAAAUUAUAUAUCAAAUUGAUAGAAGUACAAUAGUUUUUUAGAAAAACAAAAACGGAUAAAAGUUUCAAUGGUAUCUUAAUAAUAAAUCUUCAAUAAAAAAUACUUUAUUUUAUUAAAAGUAUUGUAUAGAAAUUUUUAAAAACAUUUAUUAAUAUUGAUCAUGAAAAAAUAAUAUUUAAUAUUUUUUUAUGAAAAUAAAUUUAUAAAUAUUAUAUUUUGGAUAUUUGGUUCUAAAAAAAUAAAGUCUAGCUUAAAAUUAUCUUAUAAUCAAAAAAAUAUAUAUGCCUAAAAACAUUCUUCUUUUAUAAUCUUAAUCCUUCUUGUAGUUACAAAUUGAUUGUGCAUGAAGUAUUGAGAAUUGUAUAUUGGUAUUAAUAUUGUAUACUAGUAUGCUUUUCCAUUGCAACAAUCAAUAUGAUUUACUUGUUUACUUCCAUGAAAAAUCAUCAAAAUUGACAUAUAUACUAUAAUAUUAAACAAGCUAUAUUCAUGUAAUAACUUUAUAUAUUUUUCAAAAACAAAUCUCGGGAUUCAACCCAUCCAAUUUGCCACCCAUAUUCAAAUAUAUGUAUAUAAAUAAAUAGCUAAAUUGUCAAUAUUAAUUCUACUUGAACUCUAAUAAGAAGAAUAUGUUUUGUAUUGUCACAAUGGACACACUUUCAAAUUAUUGGUUUGAAGUACGAGUUUUAUCCCAUUUAUUUUUAAUCACAUGAAAAGAACAUGAACAAAAAGAAUGAAGAACUGGUGGCACUGGAUGUCCACUACAUAUAGUCAAAACAUGAAUAUUAAAGACAAAUGUGCGAGUCCAAUAGUAUUGACAGUGCUCCUUCAAAGCUCAUAUUUCAUGACUUUGUUGCAGACAGUUCACGAGUAGCAACUCUGUUGAGCUUCAAUGCAAGAACUCCAUUUGAAAACACCCUAAAAUCUAGAUGAUUUUACACAACAAUUUGCAACAAACUGACGCACAAAUCAGGUCCAUCAAGGGUGAUUUUUUGCCAAUUGGUUUGCUUCUACAUGAGCUCACAUGAAACCUUGUUACAUUUCAGACAUUGAAUCGUCAACAUCUGUAAUUGGCUGUGAUCUUGUUCUUUGUUGCAUUGCUGUAGAGUUUUGUUACACUAAAAUUGCAUGCUUCAUUGAAUUGAUUGGUAGGAAACCAAGUUGUCAGCGAGCAGCGAGCUUUAGGCCCAGUUUGCAUUAAAUCUGGACUCUGAAUAAGAGGUUAUCAAGGUUGGGGGUAGGUUAGAUAUUAUCAGGGGUAUGAGGGGCAGAAUUGCAAUUAUUAAGAAUAGAGUAAUAGAGUUUGAUAUUUCAGCAAACUGCAGGGGCAUUUUUGAAAUUUUUCCUUUUUAACUAGAAUCUUAAAAUAAGUAAAUAUGGACGAAUUUUAUUUUUUUCCAUUCAUAAUCUAAUCAGCCAUCAAGUCAAAAAAAAAAAAAAAAAAACUGCAUUUAGCAUAUGUAGAAUACUUAGUGUAUACAAUGUUUUAAAAAAAAAUUAUAUGUAUUUUAAUAUAAUUUUUUUCUUAAUUUUAAAGUAUUUUGGAAAAUAAAUCUAAGUUAUAUAUAUAAUAAUAAAUAAAUAAAUACUUAGAUUUUGUUUCACAAUUUAAGACCAAUAGUUAUAUAGUAUUAGUGCAUAAUUAAAUAGUGUAGCUAGACUAAAGAUUUUUAAAACUUAAAUUUGUAAGAUAAUAAAUUGUGAGUUUAUUUAAUCUCACAAUGCUUAGAAAUGUCAACCUAGCACUUUGUACUUAUUUUAACUACAACUUGUAGGAAUUAAAUAUGUCUCAAAUGUUGCUUUUUAAUUCUAAGGAAUUUUAAAAUAUUUGAAAUCUUUAUGUGAGGGUUUGUGUUGACAAAAUAUCUAAAUUUUGUUUUUUCCUAGUUAUUUGCAAGAAAAAUUAGACAAUUUUAGCAAAAACCUAAGGGUUGUAAAAUAAUUACUUAAAAAAAACUCUAAUGAGACAAAUGAUGAAACAAAAUUAAGAAAAUAAACUCUCUUAUUUUACAAAUUAUUACGUAAAUAUGUAAGAUGAAAUAAUCUUGAGUACAAAUAGAUAGAUCUAAUUUUAAUAUAAGAUAUGAUUCUAUGUAAAUUUAUUGAACUAUCAAAAUAUUCAGCAAGUAGAACAUAUAACUAAUUAAAAAAAAAUGGAAAAAAAAGUAAACAAAACAAAUCAAAAGAAUGAAUUUAAAGCAAAAUAAGUGUUGUUUUCUUGUACUAUUUUAAUCUUUAUUUGAUUGUGUAUUCUGCAGAUGAAUAAAUAACUGGGAUUGAAAUAGAUGGACAUUUCAUUUCUGAUAUAAUAAACGUCUCUUAAAUAUCCAAUAUUUAAAAUAAAAUAAAAUUCACAAACAAUAAAAUCAAAUAAAAAACAAACAAACAACUUAUUUAGUAUUUUGUCAACAAAUUUAUCUUACAUCCUAAACACCAACCAACGCUUAAUCUGCCUGGAACAAAAGAAUAAUCUCCUUGACUCUUCGCAAUAAACUAAAAUUACUGUAAUUUGACCAACAUUUUAUAAUACUGAUCAUUGGAACACAUAUUAACGAAACCACAAGAAUGUUUUUCAAGCAUUGACCACAAGAGUUUCUGUGCAUAGAAAAAUAUGGUUGGAACUCAGUUUCUUUCCCGACAUACACUCUAAACCAAAAUCCACCCAGCCUUAAAAAAUCAUAUAUACCAUCACAAUGUUCAAUGAAUAGUGUCUUUAAUCUCUAGAAUGAUUUAUACAAAUUCAGUUCUUCCAAUUCUAAAGCCUUUGCAACAGCAACCGUCAGUUAUGACUUUUUUUGUUAUCAUGCAUAGAACCACGACUAAAAAAGUAGAAGAAAUGGCGGUUCAAGGUCGAAAAUAAAACUUAAUCUCUGAAGUGUCACUCUUGACAUCAGUUCUGGCAUGUGUUUGAUUGCAACGUACAUGGCUGGAGGAAUACAUCUAGAUUCAGAAACUGAGGGUUUCGCAUUCGUGUUCAUCUCUCUGCAUCCUCCUAGGUAUGGUUUAAUCUUUUGAUCCUCAAUGAAUUGCUAAUCACAAUGCCGUGAUUGCUACUAUUUCACAACAAAUUGAGGUGCCUUACUGUAGAAAACCAGGCGUGAUAAAAUGGUCAAAUUGAAUACCAUGCUUACGUACCGCAUAGGUCUACAAUCAAAGAGCUAUUAAAUUAUUCAUUAGAGCACCGUUUCCGUUGUGAGAAAGGAAGAAUGUUAACAAAAGAACUACAUAAUCAGCUGGGGCAUGAAGUACGUACACGGUUUCAAAGUAACAUGGCAAUAUCGGUACUAACUGAAAUCGAGGUACAGAAAAUAGCUAGUCGCCUUCACCAAGUUCAAAUGUGACUAGAUCCCCAGAAGUAACACAAAGCAUUAUAAAAAAAACCGGGUUAUAAAGAACACCUUCACAUUAUCGACAAAAUUCCAAGACCUACAAGAUGCCCGCUCAGGUGGAUCCACAUCCUGCAGAUGCCAUUACAAUUCAACAAGAACAUCAAUCCAUUUUGACUAUACCUUCACGAGAUCUGUACCACGUCAAUCUACGUUAGGCUGAGGAGUGAGACGAAUGUAGCUCUUUCCAGAAGGCACUUCCACUGUCUCGAAACCCUUCGGGAACUUCGCCGUAGCGGCAUCGUUAGAGAGGGACGGCACAACCAUACACUUGUCUCCCUGAUUCCAGUUCACAGGAGUCGCAACGCUGUAAUUCGCAGUGAGCUGAAGCGAGUCGAUCACACGCAAAACCUCAUUGAAGUUCCGCCCGGUGGUGGCAGGGUACAAGAUCGACAGCUUCAGCUUCUUGUCAGGACCGAAAACAUACACUGCCCUCGCCGUCAACGGAAUGCCCUUGGCAUCAAUUUCAUCAGGGUCCAGCAUCCCAAACUUCACAGCGAGCUCCCGCGUCGGAUCGGCCAAGAUAGGGUAGCUUACUUUCGCCCCUGGGGUGAAGCUCUCAAUGUCCGCAAUCCAACCCUUGUGCGACUCCACAUCGUUGCACGAUAACGCGAUCACCUUAACCCCCCGCUUCUCAAACUCCGGCAAAAACUUCCCGACGGCUCCGAGCUCGGUAGUGCAAACAGGAGUGAAGUCGUUCGGGUGGGAGAAGAGAAUUGCCCACGAACCAGUAAUGUACUGGUGGAAAUCGAUCUUGCCGUGAGUGGAAUCGGCCACGAACGAAGGCGCUGCAUCGCCAAGCUUCAAAGCCAUUACCGCGGUUUUUGAAAAGCUUCCUCAACGACAAAAUCGAUCAAUCGACCAAAGGUGCA
rnacentral:lncRNA from 1 species